rnacentral:snRNA from 1 species
ACCCUUGGAAUUUCAGUUUUUGAC